rnacentral:tRNA from 1 species
GAGGUAUUGGUGUAGUAGUAGCACUGCAGUCUGUGGAACUGCCGGCGCGGGUGCAAUUCCCGCAUAUCUCC